CCCUUAGACGUUCUGGGCCGCACGCGCGCUACACUGACGAAGGCAACGAGCUUUCCUUUACCGAAAGGUACGGGUAAUCUUUUGAAACUUCGUCGUGCUGGGGAUAGAUCCUUGCAAUUAUUGAUCUUAAACGAGGAAUUCCUAGUAAGCGCAAGUCAUCAACUUGCGUUGAUUACGUCCCUGCCCUUUGUACACACCGCCCGUCGCUACUACCGAUUGAAUGGUUUAGUGAGGCCUUCGGAUCCGCAACUCGUUUUGUGGAGAAGUUGGACAAACUCANUNAUUUAUNGGAAGUAAAANUCGUANCA
rnacentral:rRNA from 1 species